rnacentral:rRNA from 1 species
AGAGUUUGAUCCUGGCUCAGAUUGAACGCUGGCGGCGUGCCUAACACAUGCAAGUCGAGCGGUAACAGGUGUAGCAAUACAUGCUGACGAGCGGCGGACGGGUGAGUAACGCUUGGGAAUCUGCCUAUUAGUGGGGGACAACCCGGGGAAACUCGGGCUAAUACCGCAUACGCACUACGGUGGAAAGCCGGGGACCGCAAGGCCUGGCGCUAAUAGAUGAGCCCAAGUCGGAUUAGCUAGUUGGUAGGGUAACGGCCUACCAAGGCGACGAUCCGUAAUUGGUCUGAGAGGACGACCAGUCACACCGGAACUGAGACACGGUCCGGACUCCUACGGGAGGCAGCAGUGGGGAAUAUUGGACAAUGGGCGAAAGCCUGAUCCAGCGACGCCGCGUGGGUGAAGAAGGCCUGCGGGUUGUAAAGCCCUUUCGGUGGGGAAGAAAAGCCUCGAGCUAAUACCUCGGGGUCUUGACGUAACCCAUAGAAGAAGCACCGGCUAACUCUGUGCCAGCAGCCGCGGUAAUUC